rnacentral:rRNA from 1 species
AGACGUAGAGCGCAAGCGUUGUCCGGAUUUAUUGGGCGUAAAGAGCUCGUAGGCGGCCUGUCGCGUCAAUCGUGAAAUCCUGCGGCUUAACUGUGGGGUUGCGGUUGAUACGGGCGGGCUGGAGUGCGGUAGGGGAGACUGGAAUUCCUGGUGUAGCGGUGAAAUGCGCAGAUAUCAGGAGGAACACCGGUGGCGAAGGCGGGUCUCUGGGCCGUUACUGACGCUGAGGAGCGAAAGCGUGGGGAGCGAACAGGAUUAGAUACCCUGGUAGUCCAUGCUGUAAACGUUGGGCGCUAGGUGUGGGGACCCUUCCCGGGUUUCUGUGCCGUAGCUAACGCAUUAAGCGCCCCGCCUGGGGAGUACGGCCGCAAGGCUAAA